rnacentral:lncRNA from 1 species
AACCAUACAUUAUACAACCCAACAAUAAAAUAAAAUAAAAAUUAAUUAUAUUUGAUAACUUUUAUCUCUAACAUAUUGAGACACGCAAGUUUCCAAAUAAAUCGGCUUGUGCACGCAGGCACAAAAAUAGCUAUCUCUAAUACAAAGUCCUUAAUUUAAACAAAUUUAAAAUUACAUGAUUCUACAUACACAUCAUACAUCACAUGUCGAAAAAUAAAUAGGUCGCUAUCCAUGAUCAUCACCGAUUUGUAUCUCAUACAUUACAUGAAUAAUAAUUAAUUUUUGGUAUUCUAAU